rnacentral:lncRNA from 1 species
CAGUACUUAAUAAUCUGCAGACAUAAAAUCACCAGGAGAUACCAUAUUUAAUAUGGAAUUUAUCAAUACAAAAAUGUUUGACUGAAAGUUUUCAGGUUUCCUGAACAAGUUGUUUUCCUCUUUUUAUACUUUUCCUACUUUUAUAAUUUUAUAUUUUUCUCUACUUUAGCAACUCUAUUUCUUUAGAUUCUUUGUAUUACUUGAUAAAUGUUUGCUAACACUUUUUGAUUCAACUUUGCUUUUUAAUUGUGAAAUGCUGGUAGAUAGAGAGACAUAUAUAUAUAUACACAAAGAUAACUCAGAUUAAUAAAAUGAAUCUAUCUUGCAAAACAGCUGAAUAGCCAGACUCACAAUCAUUAGUAGCAACCUUUUGCCUUUAUAUCUUCUUUCACUUCUUUCACCUUUUGCCUUUUAUCUUCUUUCACUCCUAAAAAAGGAUCCAUUAUAUAUACCAUGGCCUGGUAUAAAUGCCUCUCAGAACUUCUGCUCAAAAAUUGUCAAAAUAGAUGGGGAAGUGAAUCCCAGAACUCUGGAUCUGCUACCAAGAAUCUGCAAAUACAAAGUCACUGCAGUGAUCAAAAUGAACACCUGCCAGGACUGGAAUCCAAGAAGAUAAAUAACCAUUGCUUCAACCCAUGCUUCCUCACUGCUCGCCCAGCACACAUCAACCCUGAAGUUGUCCUGUGCUUAUGAAAGGGUGAGGGGGAUAAUAACAGAAGAUUGUUAUCAGAAGAUAGUAACAGAAAAUAAUAACUGGAGAUAAUAACUGAAGAUGUCAUGGAGAUUUAUCCAGGAUGUGUAGAGGGUCUUUUGCAUGUGAGAAACUGGUUGGGACAGGAGAGCUAGAGGAGACCCAGUGCUCGCUUUUAUAGAUGUUCUAGACUGAUUUUUAGAAUAUUUGGUUAAUUGAGGAAAAUAGUAGAAGUGAUUUUGGUUUUCACUAAACUACACUCUAUUGUAAAAAUCUCAUUAUUACUAGCUGUUCUUCCAUUCUAAGUUGGGGUAUGUAACUUACCUCCUACCUCAAAGAAAGAGUAUUGAGCUCUGAUCCUACAUGCCUGCUUUCUAGUUUCAAUUCAGCUGCCAACUGUGUGACCUAAGAUGACAAGGCCAACAUGUAAGGCUGUUACCACCUCUGCACAAAGAGUAUGUGACACUUUUCUUGCUUGCCUUGGGCAAUUUUCAUGAGAACAUAAAUAUACUAGGAAAAAAU